GGCCUUCUGGAGGAGGACGACGAAUUUGAAGAAUUCCCCGCCGAAAACUGGGGCACUGAGGAUGCUGAUGAUGAAGAUGUCUCCGUUUGGGAGGACAACUGGGAGGACGACAUCGUCCAGGAUGAUUUCAACCAACAAUUGAGG